UGGUACAGCUAUACUGCCUGAAUGCACUGGUUCUUGCCUGAUCCUGAAAGCGAAUCAGAUUUGAGCCUGGUUACUAUUUGGAUGGGAGGCCAUCUGGGAAUAUCGGGUGCUGUAGGAU
rnacentral:rRNA from 1 species